UACAGAGGUCUCAAGCGUUGUUCGGGAUUCAUUGGGCGUAAAGGGUGCGUAGGCGGCGCGGUAAGUCGGGUGUGAAAUUUCGAGGCUUAACUUCGAAACUGCAUUCGAUACUGCCGUGCUUGAGGACUGGAGAGGAGACUGGAAUUUACGGUGUAGCAGUGAAAAUGCGUAGAGAUCGUAAGGAAGACCAGUGGCGAAGGCGGGUCUCUGGACAGUUCCUGACACUGAGGCACGAAGGCCAGGGGAGCAAACGGG
rnacentral:rRNA from 1 species